rnacentral:rRNA from 1 species
UACGGAGGGUGCAAGCGUUAUCCGGAAUCACUGGGUUUAAAGGGUGCGUAGGCGGCCAUAUAAGUCUGUAUUGAAAGCAUCCGGCUUAACCGGGUAACUGGUAUGGAUACUGUAGGGCUUGAAUAAGGAUGAGGCUGGCGGAAUGUGACAUGUAGCGGUGAAAUGCAUAGAUAUGUCAUAGAACACCAAUUGCGAAGGCAGCUGGCUAGGCCUUUAUUGACGCUGAGGCACGAAAGCGUGGGGAGCGAACAGG